rnacentral:rRNA from 1 species
AUGGCGUCGUCCUGCAUCCCGACGGGCAUCCGGCUGCCGGACCUGGACAUGGUCAAGGCGGCGGCGGUCGGGGCGUCGUCGGCGCCGGGCGCGGGGGCGGCGCCGCUGCGGCCGGCGCACUCCUCGGCGUCCUCGGCGCUCUCCGACGCCUCCAACUCCUCCUCGGCCUCCUCGCUCUCGCUCAAGCGGGCGCGCACGCCGCGGAAGCGCCCCAACCAGACCUACAACGAGGCGGCCGCGCUGCUCGCCUCCAUGUACCCCUCCGUCUUCCCCGCCGGGGACAGGGCGCCGCCGUCGCCGAGGCUCCUCGGCCUCGCCUCCGCGCUCGCCGACGACCCCUCCCGCGCGGACCUGCUCCCGCCCUUCCCCGUCCUCGGCAACGCCGCCUGCCUCCUCCGCGACGCCGCCGCGCCGCCGACCACGCCGCGGAGCCCCGUCCUCGCCAGGGCCUGCCCGUCGCCGGCGGCCGUCAGCAGCGCCUUCACCGAGUUCCGCGACUCCGCGCCGUCCCCCGGGACCCCUGACGGCGCCGCCGGCGCGGACGGGCCCGGGGAGCUCGACUAUGAGGAUGAUGACGACAGCUUUGACGCAGACUCUUUCCUCCUCGGCGGCCUCGACGAGGGCGCCGCCGCGGAGGGGAUCGAUGGCAUCAUGGGCAAACUCAGUAUGGAAAGCGGCAGCGAUGCCUCUUCCAUUAACCGUGUCCUCUCCAGCUCCGGCAUAGACCCCUACAUCAGAAACCUCAUGGUGCUCGGACUCGGGUUCCGGCGCUCCCGGUCCAACAUCAAGCAGGCGCUCAAGCGGCAUGACGAUGACAGCGAAUGGUGGAUGUGCCCUGCCAUUCCAUUGAAGGACAUUAUGCCGGCGCCUCCCCCAUCGAUGGAACCACCACCGCCGGUGGAGAAGAAGAAGAAGAAGACUAAGAAGAAGGCGUUGAAGGACAUUGCCGCUGGGCCGUGCAUUACAUGUGUUAAGGAGGAAAUUCCUGACCCUGCUUAUGGGGAUGAUGGAAUUUUUGGACCGAAGGCGCCCAAGACAGGAUUGGGCCUGAGCCUCAACACUGAGGAGGUGCUGAAGGCGUGGUAUGACAGAGGCUCCGUGUUCGCUGACGGCAACAUACCUGAUGCAUCAUCCACUGAUGGGCUGGCUAAACUUUCAGACAUUGAACUGUUUCUAGAGAAUGGUGCUGCUGGUGCUAUCAGGGAAGGCAGCAUACAGAAAUUGAAGCACAAGCAGAAGCAGUGCACUCCCCUCCUCUCAAAUAAGACUCGGUACCAAGCACGGAAGGUGCACGCCGAGUCUCGUCCUCGGGUCAAGGGGAGGUUUGUCAGCCAGGCGGCUCUUCUGCAGAAAGCCGCGGAGAAAGAGACCUAG